rnacentral:rRNA from 1 species
CGUGGCAACCUACCUUUUCUACGGAACAACAGUUGGAAACGACUGCUAAUACCGUAUACGCCUCCGGGGAAAGAAUUAUCGUGAAAGAAGGGGCCGCGUUAGAUUAGCUAGUUGGUGAGGUAAUGGCUCACCAAGGCGACGAUCUAUAGCUGGUCUGAGAGGAUGAUCAGCCACACUGGGACUGAGACACGGCCCAGACAACUACGGUUGGCAGCAGUGGGGAAUAUUGGACAAUGGGGGCAACCCUGAUCCAGCCAUGCCGCGUGAAUGAUGAAGGCCUUAGGGUUGUAAAAUUCUUUC